AUUCAGCUGACGAGUCCCAAAUACGACGAAACGCGCGUUCUUGAU
rnacentral:hammerhead_ribozyme from 1 species